UACGGGGGGGGCAAGCGUUGUUCGGAAUUACUGGGCGUAAAGAGCUCGUAGGCGGUUUGUUGCGUCGGCUGUGAAAUCCCGAGGCUCAACCUCGGGUCUGCAGUCGAUACGAGCAAACUAGAGUGUUGCAGGGGAGACUGGAAUUCCUGGUGUAGCGGUGAAAAUGCGCAGAUAUCAGGAGGAACACCGGUGGCGAAGGCGGGUCUCUGGGCAACAACUGACGC
rnacentral:rRNA from 1 species